ACAGAGGCAGAUUCAAUCUUAGGUAAUGGAAGUGGCCCUUCUGUGGAACAAAGCCCCAAAUUUCUAACGUUUUACUUAUGUUUUAGUAACUAUUGCAGGGUUCCUCUCCCACCUCUUUUCUCCCUUUCUCUCUCUACCUCUCUGAACUUUACAGCAGUUUUAAUGUUAAAUUUGUGCUCAUUCAAUGUGUUUUCAUUCAAAGUUUUGGCACUUUGCAUUGACUACAGGACUUGCUCUCAUAGGUGCCCGAUAUGAGUUUCUUCAAUAGAUUUACAUUGUCUUUGUACGGUGAUGGUGUUGGG
rnacentral:lncRNA from 1 species